rnacentral:rRNA from 1 species
UACGAGGGGGGCGAGCGUUGUUCGGAAUUAUUGGGCGUAAAGGGUGCGUAGGCGGGUUGGUAAGUCUUAUGUGAGAUCUACAGGCUCAACUUGUAGUCUGCAUGAGAAACUGCCGGGCUUGAGUAUGGGAGAGGUGAGUGGAAUUCCUGGUGUAGCGGUGAAAUGCGUAGAUAUCAGGAGGAACACCUGUGGCGAAAGCGGCUCACUGGACCAUAACUGACGCUGAUGCACGAAAGCUAGGGGAGCAAACAGG